rnacentral:rRNA from 1 species
GCAGCAACGCCGCGUGCGGGAUGACGGCCUUCGGGUUGUAAACCGCUUUCAGCAGGGACGAAGCAACACGUGACGGUACCUGCAGAAGAAGCACCGGCCAACUACGUGCCAGCAGCCGCGGUGAUACGUAGGGUGCGAGCGUUGUCCGGAAUUAUUGGGCGUAAAGAGCUUGUAGGCGGUCUAUUGCGUCGAAAGUGAAAACUCAGGGCUCAACCCUGAGCCUGCUCUCGAUACGGGUAGACUUGAGGGAUGUAGGGGAGAACGGAAUUCUUGGUGGAGCGGUGGAAUGCGCAGAUAUCAGGAGGAACACCGGUGACGAAGGCGGUUCUCUGGACAUUUCCUGACGCUGAGAAGCGAAAGCGUGGGUAGCAAACAGGCUUAGAUACCCUGGUAGUCCACGCCGUAAACGGUGGGUACUAGGUGUGGGGGACAUUCCACGUUCUCCGUGCCGCAGCUAACGCAUUAAGUACCCCGCCUGGGGAGUACGGCCGCAAGGCUAAAACUCAAAGGAAUUGACGGGGCCCCGCACAAGCGGCGGAGCAUGCGGAUUAAUUCGAUGCAACGCGAAGAACCUUACCUGGGUUUGACAUAUGCCGGAAAGGCCUAGAGAUAGGUCCCCCCUUGUG